AUUGAACGCUGGCGGCAUGCCUUACACAUGCAAGUCGAACGGCAGCACGGGAGCAAUCCUGGUGGCGAGUGGCGAACGGGUGAGUAAAGUAUCGGAACGUGCCCAGUCGUGGGGGAUAACGUAGCGAAAGUUACGCUAAUACCGCAUACGAACUAUGGAUGAAAGCGGGGGAUUGCAAGACCUCGCGCGAUUGGAGCGGCCGAUAUAAGAUUAGGUAGUUGGUUGGGUAAAGGCUCACCAAGCCGACGAUCUGUAGCUGGUCUGAGAGGACGACCAGCCACACUGGGACUGAGACACGGCCCAGACUCCUACGGGAGGCAGCAGUGGGGAAUUUUGGACAAUGGGCGAAAGCCUGAUCCAGCCAUGCCGCGUGCAGGAUGAAGGCCUUCGGGUUGUAAACUGCUUUUGUACGGAACGAAAAGGUUUGGCCUAAUAAGCUGAGCUCAUGACGGUACCGUAAGAAUAAGCACCGGCUAACUACGUGCCAGCCGCCGCAGUAA
rnacentral:rRNA from 1 species